rnacentral:rRNA from 1 species
AUUGAACGCUGGCGGCAUGCCUUACACAUGCAAGUCGAACGGCAGCGGGGACUUCGGUCCGCCGGCGAGUGGCGAACGGGUGAGUAAUGUAUCGGAACGUACCAUUGAGUGGGGGAUAACGUAGCGAAAGUUACGCUAAUACCGCAUAUUCUCUCCGGAGGAAAGCAGGGGACCGCAAGGCCUUGCGCUCUUUGAGCGGCCGAUAUCAGAUUAGCUAGUUGGUGAGGUAAAAGCUCACCAAGGCGACGAUCUGUAGCGGGUCUGAGAGGAUGAACCGCCACACUGGAACCGGGACACGGUCCAGACUACUACGGGAGGCAGGAGUUGGGAAUUUUGGACAAUGGGGGCAACCCUGAUCCAGCCAUGCCGCGUGAGUGAAGAAGGCCUUCGGGUUGUAAAGCUCUUUCGGCCGGGAAAAAAUCGCAUGGGUUAAUACCCUGUGUGGAUGAUGGUACCGGAAUAAGAAGCACCGGCUAACUACGUGCCAGCCGCCGCCGUAA